rnacentral:rRNA from 1 species
AUUGAACGCUGGCGGCAGGCCUAACACAUGCAAGUCGAGCGAGCGGCGGACGGGUGAGUAAUGUCUGGGCAACUGCCUGAUGGAGGGGGAGAAAUACUGGAAACGGUAGAUAAUACAGCAUAUCAUCCGAUAUGCCCAGAUGGGAUUAGCUAGUCGGUGUGGUAACGGCUCACCUAGGCGACGAUCCCUAGCUGGUCUGAGAGGAUGACCAGCCACACGGGAACUGAGAAACGGUCCAGACUCCUCCGGGAGGCAGCAGUGGGGAAUAUUGCAAAAUGGGCGAAAGCCUGAUGCAGCCAUGCCGCGUGGGUGAAGAAGGCCUUCGGGUUGUAAAGUACUUUCAGCGGGGAGGCGUUACCCGCAGAAGAAGCACCGGCUAACUCCGUGCCAGCAGCCGCGGUAAUAC